rnacentral:rRNA from 1 species
UACGAAGGGUGCAAGCGUUAAUCGGAAUUACUGGGCGUAAAGCGCGCGUAGGUGGUUCAGUAAGUUGGAAGUGAAAUCCCCGGGCUCAACCUGGGAACUGCUUUCAAAACUGCUGAGCUAGAGUACGGUAGAGGGUGGUGGAAUUUCCUGUGUAGCGGUGAAAUGCGUAGAUAUAGGAAGGAACACCAGUGGCGAAGGCGACCACCUGGACUGAUACUGACACUGAGGUGCGAAAGCGUGGGGAACAAACAGG